rnacentral:rRNA from 1 species
GACGGAGGAGGCUAGCGUUGUUCGGAAUUACUGGGCGUAAAGGGCGUGCAGGCGGUUUGUUAAGUGCAGGGUGAAAGCUCCCGGCUCAACUGGGAGAGGUCCUUGCAUACUGGCGAACUCGAGGGAGGCAGAGGAAAGUGGAAUUCCCGGUGUAGUGGUGAUAUGCGUAGAUAUCGGGAGGAACACCUGUGGCGAAGGCGGCUUUCUGGGCCUUACCUGACGCUGAGGUGCGAAAGCGUGGGGAGCAAACAGG